GAUCAGUUAGUUGUCAGUGUGGUGGGUGGUGAGAAACAUGCACAGUUGGAGCAUAUGUGUGUUAGCCACCUUUCACCAUGAAGGGUGAGUGGGAAGUUGAGAAAGUUUUCUGGAUGAAGAAAGAAGUAGAUGCUGACAAGAAAGAGUCUGGAUUUCCUGGCACAGAGGGGAAGGGCUGUGACAUCAUCUUGCAAAAGAAAAUCUUCUAAAGAACAAGGUGAAAAAGGUAAGAAGUGGAAAAAAGGAUACUGCUUCUUUUGGAAAGGUGGGAGAGAAAAAGCGAAGCUAGGAAGAGAGAUGCCUUGGAGAAUGAAUGAACGACAAUG
rnacentral:lncRNA from 1 species